rnacentral:rRNA from 1 species
UACGAAGGGGGCUAGCGUUGCUCGGAAUUACUGGGCGUAAAGCGCACGCAGGCGGUCUUUUAAGUUUGACGUGAAAGCUCCCGGCUUAACUGGGAGAGGUCGUUGAAGACUGGAAGACUUGAGGCAAUGAGAGGGGUGUAGAAUUCCCGGUGUAGUGGUGGAAUGCGUAGAUAUCGGGGGGAAUACCAGUGGCGAAAGCGGCACCCUAGCAUUAGCCUGACGCUCAUGUGCGAAAGCGUGGGGAGCGAACGGG